AGUUGUCUGAUAUUUCUCCUUUUGUGGUUGUUUUAGGGAAAAACUUAAAAUGGAUAUGAAAAGUGAAGAAAGUGAUCAUAGGAGAAAACCAUUUCAGGUGUCUGAUGAUUUGUGAGCCUCAAGUGACUACUCUGUGGAAUCAUCUGUCCUUGCCUUUGAAUUAGCUUUCCCUAGGCCAUGAGUCAACAUUAGUAGUUUAUACAUCCAAAUUGAUGACAAGAGCACCUCAAAGGCAGCAGCCUCAAGGAGCAGCCAUGGCCCCAGACUUGUCGCACGGAUGCAGAAAACUUAAUGGAGGAGGCUGAGCAAAACAGAGCGUGACACUCCCAAUCAUCUGCAUGCUGGAAAUGAGGAAAUGGUUAUUGAAUGAUACAAGUGCUUUUCGAUCAUUUAGAAAGUUCUGUUUCCCAAGAUCUUUUUUUUUUUUUUUUUUUUUGAGACGGUGUCUUGCUCUGUCACCCAGGCUGGAGUGCAGUGGCGCGAUCUCGGCUCACCACAACCUCCACCUCCUGGGUUCAAGCGAUUCU
rnacentral:lncRNA from 1 species